AGAACGAACGCUGGCGGCGUGCCUAACACAUGCAAGUCGCACGAGAAAGGGGAGCAAUCCCUGAGUACAGUGGCGCACGGGUGAGUAACACGUGAAUGAUCUACCUCCGAGUGGGGAAUAACUGAGAGAAAUCUUGGCUAAUACCGCAUAAUACCCACGGGUCAAAGCAGCAAUGCGCUUGGAGAGGAGUUCGCGGCCGAUUAGUUAGUUGGCGGGGUAAUGGCCCACCAAGACGAUGAUCGGUA
rnacentral:rRNA from 1 species